AAACUGAGAAGAUCAACAGAACAACUGUUAAACUGUUCAGAUCUUUGUGAAAGAGCAUUUUAUAAAACAUUACAAACCAAACAAACCACAUUCCAUUGGUUAAAAAAAAUAUGGCAAAGCUACACAAACCACAUUCCAUUGGACUGGGGGGGCAGUAUUGAGUAGCUUGGAUGAAUAAGGUGCCUAGAGUAAACUGCCUGCCACUCAGGCCCAAAAGCUAGAAUAUGCAUAUAAUUAGUAGAUGUGGAUAGCAAACACUCUGAAGUUUCUAAAACUGUUUGAGUAUAACAGAACUCAAAUGGCAGGCAAACACCUGAGGAAAAAAUCCAACCAGGAAGUCGGAAAUCUGAGGUUUGUAGUUUUUCAAUUAUUGCCUUUCGAAUAUACAGUGUCUAUGGGGUCAUAUUGCACUUCCCACAGCUUCCACUAGAUGUCAACAGUCUUUAGAGCCUUGUUUCAGGUUUAUACUGUGAAGGGAGCGAAUAAGAGCUGUUUGACUAAGGGCAGAAUGCCUUGAGCUAAGCCAUGAGAGCCGAGGUGCAUUCCCUUUCAUUUCUAAAGACAAAGGAAUUGUCCGGUUGGAAUAUUAUUGAGGAUUUAUGACAAAAACAUCCUAAAGAUUGAUUCUAUACAUCGUUUGACAUGUUUCUACGAACUGUAAUGGAACUUUUGGACUUUUCACCUGGACCUAGUGCUCUCGCCUGGUGCAUUUUGGAUUACUGUACUAAACGCGUGAACAAAAAGGAGGUAUUUUGACAUAAAGGAUGGAUCGAACAAAACAUUUAUUGUGGAACUGGGUUUCCUGGGAGUGCAAUCUGAUGAAGAUCAUCAAAGGAAAGUGAAUAUCUAUUUCUGAGUUUUGUGACAUCUCUCCUUGGUUGGAAAAAUGGCUGUAUGUUUUUCUGUGGCUAUGCGCUGACCGUAAUUGCAUGCUUUUACCAUAACACUUUUUUGAAAUCAGACAGAUUAACGAUUAAUGAGAUUAACGGGAAGUUGAUCUUUAAAAUGGUGUAUAAUAUGUGUAUGUUUGUGUAAUGGUUUUCCUGUGGUGAAGGAGAAGUGCAGCGUGGUGGUUAUUCAUGUUCUUUAAUUUAUAAAGAAACUACACAUGAGAUAACUAACAAAAACAACAAACGUGAGAAAACCUAAAACAGUCCCGUCUGGUGCAAACACAAAGACAGGAACAAUCACCCACAAACACACAGUGAAACCCAGGCUACCUAAGUAUGAUUCUCAAUCAGAGACAACUAAUGACACCUGCCUCUGAUUGAGAACCAUACUAGGCCGAAACAUAGAAAUACCCCAAAACAUAGAAAAACAAACAUAGACUGCCCACCCAACUCACGCCCUGACCAUACUAAAUAAUGACAAAACAAAGGAAAUAAAGGUCAGAACGUGACAGUUUGAUUUUACUGGCUGUUGGCGAAGACGAUACCAUCCCACAUAUCCCAGAGAAGUAAAUGAAACAUGUUAAAACCAAACACACCACUUACCAUUGAAGGGAAAGGCAGGUUAAAACCAAACACACCACUUACCAUUGAAGGGAAAGGCAGGUUAAAACCAAACACACCACUUACCAUUGAAGGGAAAGGCAGGUUAAAACCAAACACACCACAUACCAUUGAAGGGAAAGGCAGGUUAAAACCAAACACACCACUUACCAUUGAAGGGAAAGGCAGGUUAAAACCAAACACACCACUUACCAUUGAAGGGAAAGGCAGGUUAAAACCAAACACACCACUUACCAUUGAAGGGAAAGGCAGGUUAAAACCAAACACACCACUUACCAUUGAAGGGAAAGGCAGGUUAAAACCAAACACACCACUUACCAUUGAAGGGAAAGGCAGGUUAAAACCAAACACACCACUUACCAUUGAAGGGAAAGGCAGGUUAAAACCAAACACACCACUUACCAUUGAAGGGAAAGGCAGGUUAAAACCAAACACACCACUUACCAUUGAAGGGAAAGGCAGGUUAAAACCAAACACACCACUUACCAUUGAAGGGAAAGGCAGGUUAAAACCAAACACACCACUUACCAUUGAAGGGAAAGGCAGGUUAAAACCUAGUCAGUUGCACAACUGAAUGGAUUCUACCAAAAUGUGUCUAAAUGUACAUUCAACUGAUCGUCUUGAUAGUAGCCUAGAGAAAUUAUGCAUUAUGUCACUUUAUUUUGUGCCUUUAUUUAAUCAGGUAAGUCAUUAUGUUGUGCUAUACGUUUCCAGUUGAAGUGGCAGCAGACUGACCUGUCGU